GACGAACGCUGGCGGCGUGCUUAACACAUGCAAGUCGAACGGAAAGGCCCUGCUUUUGUGGGGUGCUCGAGUGGCGAACGGGUGAGUAACACGUGAGUAACCUGCCCUUGACUUUGGGAUAACUCCAGGAAACUGGGGCUAUUACCGGAUAGGAGCUCCUGCUGCAUGGUGGGGGUUGGAAAGUUUCGGCGGUUGGGGAUGGACUCGCGGCUUAUCAGCUUGUUGGGGAGGUAGUGGCUUACCAAGGCUUUGACGGGUAGCCGGCAUGAGAGGGUUACCGGCCACAUUGGGGCUGAGAGACGGCCCAGACUCCUACGGGAGGCAGCAGUGGGGAAUAUUGCACAAUGGGCGGAAGCCUGAUGCAGCAACGCCGCGUGCGGGAUGACGGCCUUCGGGUUGUAAACCGAUUUCGCCUGUGACGAAGCGUGAGUGACGGUAAUGGGUAAGGAAGCACCGGCUAACUACGUG
rnacentral:rRNA from 1 species